GUCCCUGUAGCACAAUGCAUAACUCGUUGGACUCCUAAUCCAAAGGUCGUGGAUUCGAAUUCCACCUGGGAUG